UACAGAGGUCUCAAGCGUUGUUCGGAUUCAUUGGGCGUAAAGGGUGCGUAGGUGGCGCUGUAAGUCAGAUGUGAAAUUUCGGAGCUUAACUCCGAAACUGCAUUUGAUACUGCGGUGCUUGAGGACUGGAGAGGAGAUUGGAAUUCACGGUGUAGCAGUGAAAUGCGUAGAUAUCGUGAGGAAGACCAGUGGCGAAGGCGGCAUCCUGGACCGGCAUUGACGCUGAGGCGCGAAAGCCAGGGGAGCAAACGGG
rnacentral:rRNA from 1 species